UACGUAGGGUGCGAGCGUUAAUCGGAAUUACUGGGCGUAAAGCGUGCGCAGGCGGUUUUUUAAGACAGGCGUGAAAUCCCCGGGCUUAACCUGGGAACGGCGCUUGUGACUGGAAGGCUAGAGUAUGGCAGAGGGGGGUGGAAUUCCACGUGUAGCAGUGAAAUGCGUAGAGAUGUGGAGGAACACCGAUGGCGAAGGCAGCCCCCUGGGCCAAUACUGACGCUCAUGCACGAAAGCGUGGGGAGCAAACAGG
rnacentral:rRNA from 1 species